rnacentral:rRNA from 1 species
GAUGAACGCUGGCGGCGUGCUUAACACAUGCAAGUCGAACGAAGCACUCAUGACAGAUUCUUCGGAUGAUGGAUUGAUUGACUGAGUGGCGGACGGGUGAGUAACGCGUGAGUAACCUGCCUCAUACAGGGGGAUAACAGUUAGAAAUGACUGCUAAUACCGCAUAAGCGCACAGUACCGCAUGGUACGGUGUGAAAAACUCCGGUGGUAUGAGAUGGACCCGCGGCUGAUUAGCUAGUUGGUGGGGUAACGGCCUACCAAGGCGACGAUCAGUAGCCGGCCUGAGAGGGUGAACGGCCACAUUGGGACUGAGACACGGCCCAAACUCCUACGGGAGGCAGCAGUGGGGAAUAUUGCACAAUGGGGGAAACCCUGAUGCAGCGACGCCGCGUGAGCGAUGAAGUAUUUCGGUAUGUAAAGCUCUAUCAGCAGGGAAGAAAAUGACGGUACCUGACUAAGAAGCACCGGCUAAAUACGUGCCAGCAGCCGCAGUAAUAC